rnacentral:tRNA from 1 species
GGGCCUGUAGCUCAGUUGGUUAGAGCGCACGCCUGAUAAGCGUGAGGUCGGUGGUUCAAGUCCACCCAGGCCCACCC